rnacentral:tRNA from 2 species
UAGAAUGUGGUGUAGCAUGGUAGCACGGAGAAUUUUGAAUUCUUAGGGGCAGGUUCAAUUCCUGCGGUUCUAG